rnacentral:ncRNA from 1 species
UGACCUCAAAUCAGGUAGGAUUACCCGCUGAACUUAAGCAUAUCAAUAAGCGGAGGAAAAGAAACCAACUGGGAUUACCUUAGUAACGGCGAGUGAAGCGGUAAAAGCUCAAAUUUGAAAUCUGGUACUUUCAGUGCCCGAGUUGUAAUUUGUAGAAUUUGUCUUUGAUUAGGUCCUUGUCUAUGUUCCUUGGAACAGGACGUCAUAGAGGGUGAGAAUCCCGUUUGGCGAGGAUACCUUUUCUCUGUAAGACUUUUUCGAAGAGUCGAGUUGUUUGGGAAUGCAGCUCAAAGUGGGUGGUAAUUCCAUCUAAAGCUAAAUAUUGGCGA